AUGGCGGAGGCGGUGAUGGGGCCGCUGCUGGGGGCGCUGCAGGAGCUGGUGAUGAAGGAGGCGCAAGCGAUGGCGGCGGUGGACGACGACGUGCGGAACCUCCGGGACAAGCUCAUGUGGCUGCAGGCCUUCCUCCGCGAUGCCGAGCCCCGGCGGCGCGCCAGGAACGAUGAGCUCACCAGGGUCUGCCUCCACCAGAUACGUGGCGCCGUCUUUGACGCCGAGGACGCAGUUGACCGCUACUUCCUCAAGAUCGACCUCUCCAAGUACCCAGGCUGGAGCCAAGCCGUCGUCCAAUUCUUCAUCGGAUUGACCACGCAGGUCCGCGUGCGGAGGGACCUUUCAAGGAGAGUCGGAUCCAUCAACAAGAGGCUCGAGAGAAUCAUCGAGAACAAGGAUAAGUACAAGAUCGACAACCAGGAUUCCUCAUCAGUCACCACAUGGAGGCCGUCCACUGACAUCAGUGCUGCUAUCGAAAAUCUGGGUCGUUUCACGCUACCAUUGGUGGGACGAGACGAGAAGCAAGAGGAAAUGAGGAAGGUGCUCAACGAGGAAUCCAAGCACCCCAUGGUGAUCACGUUGGCAGGGGAGAGCGGCCUGGGCAAGACAAAGUUGACGAAGGCGAUCUACGAGGAUCCCGUAACCAAGGAGCAUUUCAGGGUGCGCGUGUGGGUGAGCUUCGCGCCAGGCCUCAGCGCCUCGCAGAUCCUCAAGCUGGUCCUCCUGCGCCUGGCGCUGAAACCGACCAAGAGCAGCUACGACGGCGACGAUGAUCCCGGGGUAAGGCUACAAGCGGCGCUGCGAGCCAAGAUCUACCUGCUGGUCCUCGACGGUGAGGUGAGCAGCACGGAGUGGAACGGCAUCCUGUCCAUCCUCGGGAGGACGAGCAGCGCCAAGAGCAGAGUGGUGAGGAUCACACGGACGGACCCGGUGGCACAGUCCUCCAACUUCGUGGAUAGGAAUAUCCUCCUUACGCACUUGGACAAGGGCACGUCCGUGGAGCUGUUCCGCAAGGCGCUCCUCUGGGGCAGGGGUGGUGAGAAGUAUAACAGGAUCUCAGCCGACGACCUAGAGAUGAAGAAGCACCUGGAUUCCAUCCACGACGUCACCGGCGGUCUCCCGUUGUCUGUCGUGCUGCUGGCGGGCCUCCUGCAGACCAAGGAGUUCCCCGGGGAAUGGACUCGCGUGUUCGAGCACCUCACGGACAAGUCCGGCAAGUCCAAACGGGACGACAUCAUACUCUCCAUGUGCUUCGACGACCUCCCGCACGACCUGAAAUCGUGCUUCCUCUACCUGGCAUGCUUCCCAGUGAACAUGCUGGUCAAGGCGCGCACCAUGGUGUGCAUGUGGAUGGCGGAGGGUUUCCUGAGCCCCAGGGGGGGCAUGACGAUGGAGAAGGUGGGCAGCCAUUUCCUGAACGAGCUGGCCCAGAGGCACCUCAUCAACAUCCCGCCCGUGGAGUACGCCGAUCCUGGGUUCGAGAGCGUCACUGUGCAGUCCAGGGUCCACGACUUCCUGCUGCAUGAGGCGCAGGAGGUCCACGGCGGCGACGAUGUCCCGAUGCUAACCACCACUCGCCGCCUCGCGCUGCAGAAUCACAGCGAUAAGUAUGCUGCCCUCGCCACCCCUCUGCCCAAGCUGCGGUCCAUCUUCUCAAGCUUUGAAAAAGAAGACACGGGGAUGGGGACGGCGACGGCGGCGGCUCAUGCUGCAGGUGACCGGAACAAGAAAGGUACAAACACCACCAUUGCUCGGGUCUUCCCCCAUCUUCUUCGGAGCCCCGGUAGCGCCUACACGGACCCGAAGACGAUCAUACAGAGGCUCCUGUGCAAUUCCAAGUUCCUCCGUGUCAUCAGUCUAGAUGGCCUCGACAUUGGCAUCGAGUUACCCCAUGAAAUCGGGAGCGUGGUGCACCUGCAGCAUCUCGCCAUCACCUCCUGCUCCCUCAAGGUAAUACCACCGUCAAUUGGAAAGCUGACCCGGCUCCAGACGCUGGACGUCCGAGGCACCGGCGUCAACGCGCUCCCGAUGGGGUUCUGGAAAAUAAGGACGUUGCGGCACGUGUUCGGGUCCAUCCUCUUGCCCAGGCGAGUCGGCAACCUGGAGCAGCUACGGAACCUGACGACUGUAAACCAUGGCAACAACGGUGCCUGGGACGAGAAAACCUUCUCCAGGAUGGUACGCCUCAACAUGCUGCACGUCGACGGGAUCUCCGCAAGCAAUGUGGAGGCCAUCUACAAGCUCAAGUACCUCGUGAUCCUCAACCUCGCUUCUGGAGAUCAGGCGGUGAUCCCCUCAGAUCUGUUCACUAGAUCCAACCUCCCACGCCUCCAGAUGAUGCGGCUGGCCGGGAAGAUGGAGCAAUCCCCGACAUUGUCGGGCCGCAACUUUACACUCCCGACCCUGACGCAGUUGUUCCUGAAGAACACGAUGGUGCCGCAGUCCUUCAUCAACCAGCUGGGAAUUGGCCUGCCACUCCUCUCCGUGCUCGUCCUGCUAGAAGGCGCCUGUGAAUCGGAGAGCAUCGUCUUCAGCACCGGGUUCCACAGCAUCAAGUACGUGACGCUGGACGUGGAGCUGUUGCGGGUCGAGAUCCAGAGCCCCGCAUUUGGCCAUAACCUCGUGCAGGUGGAGAUCGUCACCUACUCCCCUGAAAUCCUUGUUGAUAUCUCUCAGAAACCCGACAUCAAGGACAAGAUCAAGAUCGACGAUAAAUACAUCCGAGGUAUGGCGGAUCCCGCGCCUGAGGUGCCCAACGGUGCUCUCCAGGCCCUACUGAAUCAUCUAAUGGCGGCCACCGGCGGGGCUCGUCCGAUUGCGAGCCGUAUUCAAACAAAACCUUAG
rnacentral:rRNA from 1 species